GACGAACGCUGGCGGCGUGCUUAACACAUGCAAGUCGAACGGAAAGGCCCUGCUUUUGUGGGGUGCUCGAGUGGCGAACGGGUGAGUAACACGUGAGUAACCUGCCCUUUACUUUGGGAUAACUUCCGGAAACGGGGGCUAAUACCGGAUAUUCGCUCCUGCUGCAUGGUGGGGGUGGGAAAGUUUCGGUGGUUGGGGAUGGUCUCGCGGCUUAUCAGCUUGUUGGUGGGGUAGUGGUUUACGACGGCUUCGACGGGUAGUCGGCCUGAGAGGGUGACCGGCGACAUUGGGCCUGGGAUACGGCGCAGGGUCGUACGGGGGGCAGCAGUGGGGAAUGUGGAAGAAUGGGCGGGAGCCUGAGGCAGCGACGCCGCGUGCGGGAGGACGGCAUUCGGGUUGUAACCCGCUUUCGCCUGUGACGAGGCGUGAGUGACGGUAAUGGGUAAAGAAGCACCGGCUAACUACGUG
rnacentral:rRNA from 1 species